rnacentral:rRNA from 1 species
UCUUGGUCAUUUAGAGGAAGUAAAAGUCGUAANAAGGUUUCCGUAGGUGAACCUGCGGAAGGAUCAUUAAAGAAAUUUAAUAAUUUUGAAAAUGGAUUUUUUUGUUUUGGCAAGAGCAUGAGAGCUUUUACUGGGCAAGAAGACAAGAGAUGGAGAGUCCAGCCGGGCCUGCGCUUAAGUGCGCGGUCUUGCUAGGCUUGUAAGUUUCUUUCUUGCUAUUCCAAACGGUGAGAGAUUUCUGUGCUUUUGUUAUAGGACAAUUAAAACCGUUUCGAUACAACACACUGUGGAGUUUUCAUAUCUUUGCAACUUUUUCUUUGGGCAUUCGAGCAAUCGGGGCCCAGAGGUAACAAACACAAACAAUUUUAUCUAUUCAUUAAAUUUUUGUCAAAAACAAGAAUUUUCGUAACUGGAAAUUUUAAAAUACUAAAAACUUUCAACAACGGAUCUCUUGGUUCUCGCAUCGAUGAAGAACGCAGCGAAAUGCGAUACGUAAUGUGAAUUGCAGAAUUCCGUGAAUCAUCGAAUCUUUGAACGCACAUUGCGCCCCUUGGUAUUCCAGGGGGCAUGCCUGUUUGAGCGUCAUUUCCUUCUCAAACAUUCUGUUUGGUAGUGAGUGAUACUCUUUGGAGUUAACUUGAAAUUGCUGGCCUUUUCAUUGGAUGUUUUUUUUCCAAAGAGAGGUUUCUCUGCGUGCUUGAGGUAUAAUGCAAGUACGGUCGUUUUAGGUUUUACCAACUGCGGCUAAUCUUUUUUUAUACUGAGCGUAUUGGAACGUUAUCGAUAAGAAGAGAGCGUCUAGGCGAACAAUGUUCUUAAAGUUUGACCUCAAAUCAGGUAGGAGUACCCGCUGAACUUAAGCAUAUCAAUAAGCGGAGGAA